rnacentral:misc_RNA from 1 species
UCAAACUUGGUCAUUUAGAGGAAGUAAAAGUCGUAACAAGGUUUCCGUAGGUGAACCUGCGGAAGGAUCAUUAGUGAACUGGGGGCUCUGGUCUUUUUGACUGGGCUUCAAAUUUUCACAUCCAAACACUGUGCAAUGUUUAGAUGAACCCUUCCUUUGGAAGCUACUAGUCUGCUUUUUUUUUUACCUUCAAACCCUGGUCACCGUAUGUGUAUCUUUUUAGUUAAACAAAACUUUCAACAACGGAUCUCUUGGCUCCCGCAUCGAUGAAGAACGCAGC